GAUGAAGAACGCAGCGAAAUGCGAUACUUGGUGUGAAUUGCAGAAUCCCGUGAACCAUCGAGUCUUUGAACGCAAGUUGCGCCCGAAGCCAUUAGGUUGAGGGCACGUCUGCCUGGGCGUCACAUAUCGUUGCCUGAUGCCAGUUUCCUCGUGAUGGGUGACUGUGCAGGGCGAAUGAUGGCUUCCCGUGAGCAUUGUUGCCUCAUGGUUGGUUGAAAAUUGAGUCCUUGGUAGGGAGCGCCGUGAUAGAUGGUGGUUGAGUGACGAACGAGACCCAAUCAUGUGAGACCCCUACCGAAUUUGGCCUUCAUGACCCACAUGCGUCUUUGGAACGCUCAUGACGAGACCUCAGGUCAGGCGGGGCUACCCGCUGAGUUUAAGCAUAUCAAUAAGCGGAGGA
rnacentral:misc_RNA from 1 species